GGGGAAUAUUGCACAAUGGGGGAAACCCUGAUGCAGCAACGCCGCGUGAAGGAUGAAGGUUUUCGGAUUGUAAACUUCUUUAGUCAGGGACGAAAAAAUGACGGUAGCUGAAGAAUAAUCCACGGCUCACUACGUGCCAGCAGCCGCGGUGAUACGUAGGUGGCAAGCGUUGUCCGGAAUUACUGGGUGUAAAGGGCGUGUAGGCGGGAAUGUAAGUCAGAUGUGAAAUCCCAGGGCUUAACCCUGGAGCUGCAUCUGAAACUAUGUUUCUUGAGUGCCGGAGAGGAAAGUGGAAUUCCUAGUGUAGCGGUGAAAUGCGUAGAUAUUAGGAGGAACACCAGUGGCGAAGGCGGCUUUCUGGACGGUAACUGACGCUGAGGCGCGAAAGCGUGGGGAGCAAAC
rnacentral:rRNA from 1 species